CCUUAUGCGAUGAUUACACUGAUGAGUGUCCACACAGAUUGAUGGUUUAUACAGUUUUAGAGACGAUGCUGGGUCUGUAGCUCAGGUGGUUAGAGCGUUCGCCUGAUAAGCGAGAGGUCGGUGGUUCAAGUCCACUCAGACCCACCAAUUCUUCUUAAUCGAAGGUUGGCACACAGUAUCACACACCUGAUGGGGCUAUAGCUCAGCUGGGAGAGCGCCUGCCUUGCACGCAGGAGGUCUGCGGUUCGAUCCCGCAUAGCUCCACCAUCUUUAAGCACAUUGCUUAAGUGUUCUUAAAAAUGGUUUUCAUCAGAAAAUCUUGCUCUUUAACAAUUUGGAAAGCUGACUGAUAACAACGUGAUUUGUUGUUAUCAAAUAAAAGUUCUCAAUAUCAAUACGGUUACGUGUUGAUACCAAACACAUUCAAGUGUUCUUGGGAAAGCUUACUGCGGUAAGUUUUCAAAAUUGAGUCCGGCAAAAUCGACAUGUCUCUCGCUCAUUCAAUAAAGAGAGACACUAAACCUUGGUGACUUGUCAUCAACACGAAACUUCUUCGGGUUGUAU
rnacentral:tRNA from 1 species